rnacentral:rRNA from 1 species
UGAGGAAUAUUGGACAAUGGGCGCAAGCCUGAUCCAGCCAUGCCGCGUGCAGGAUGACGGUCCUAUGGAUUGUAAACUGCUUUUAUACAGGAAGAAACACUACUUCGUGAAGUAGCUUGACGGUACUGUAAGAAUAAGGAUCGGCUAACUCCGUGCCAGCAGCCGCGGUAAUACGGAGGAUCCAAGCGUUAUCCGGAAUCAUUGGGUUUAAAGGUCCGUAGGCGGUCAGAUAAGUCAGUGGUGAAAGCCCAUCGCUCAACGGUGGAACGGCCAUUGAUACUGUCUGACUUGAAUUAUUAGGAAGUAACUAGAAUAUGUAGUGUAGCGGUGAAAUGCUUAGAGAUUACAUGGAAUACCAAUUGCGAAGGCAGGUUACUACUAAUGGAUUGACGCUGAUGGACGAAAGCGUGGGUAGCGAACAGGAUUAGAUACCCUGGUAGUCCACGCCGUAAACGAUGGAUACUAGCUGUUGGAGCAA